UAGGAUUUGAACCCACAACCUCAAGAUCAAGAGUCACACGCUCUUCUGAUUGGGCCACCCAGGAGUCCCCAAAAAUGGUGAUUUAAAGUUCAUUUUCUAAUUGCAUAGGGAAACAUGAUCUAUUUCCAUGUUCCCUCAUCACUAUUCUUUAUGACAAACUGCAGUGUAAGCCUGGCUUUUGCCUUCUAUUUUAGAUUCAACGUCCUUUUCUAACUCAACUUGAAUUGUUUUUUAAGAAUCAGACUCCCCCAGGACUUGCCUGCUACUCUCAGAUUCAAGCCAAAUUGGAUAAAAAGUCCUUUUGCCUCAUUUAAACUUUAAGGAAACAUGGUUUUCCUCGUCUACUGCUGUAGCAAUUCCACAAACAGAAACUUCUCAUUCCUUCUGUCAAGUCCAAAUUUCAUGACUUCAUGGGGGGUGGGUGAGGGACUAAAAAUCCCAGAAGAGGGACCUUUUCCCUUCUCUACAAGGAGAGAAGGAGAACAAGGAGAGAAACCAAGACCUUCCAGAGGGGGAGCAUCACCUGUGGCUGAGGUUAUUUAUAGGACUUGGAUUUAAAUUUAAUUCUGCCCUCUGGUAACUCCAGUGGCACCUGCUACUUUAAGAGCUGGCCCCACCCUCUACGUAAGAGAGCUGUUUAGCUCCAGUGCGUACAGAUCAAAUGCAAGUUUAGCAGGCAAGAGACGAGAAACAUAAACAAGUUCUGCAAUGGGUCCCUGGAAGAGGGGGGCCAGUGUGGUGGCUGGAGUCAGGCUGUGUCACCUGGGCAUGAGGACUGGGCAUGGAUUUAAACUAUGCUGCCCCUAGAAUAUAAAAUGGGGCGGCCGCUCCGAAAAACAUUGCACAUGUGGUCCAGCCAUUCCUCUUCUAGGUACAGACUCAAAAGAAUUGAAUGCAGGGACUUAAAUGGGUAUUUGAACAGUCACGUUCACAAUAGCCUAAAGGUAGAAGCAAGACAAGAGUCCCUGGACAGAUGAAUGACUAAGCACAAUGUGGAAUAUGCACACAGUGGGAUGUCAUUCAGCCUUUAAAAAGUAGGCAAUUGUGACACCUGCUCCAAUACGGAUGUACCUUGAGCACAUUACUCUGCGUGAAAUAAGCAAGACAUAAAAGGACAGAUACGAUACGAUCCCACUUCUACGAGGUAAUUUUCACAACAAACUUCAGCGAGAUUAAGCAACUUUCCCAAGUUCACCAAGCCAGGAAGGAGGAAUUUGAACCCAGGUGUCCAGGGGCACAACUCAUCGCUUCCCAGGCUGAGAAGAGUCAUGUGACAGCAGCUUGAAAAGGCGAACCUGCAGGUGC